rnacentral:rRNA from 1 species
UACGGAGGGGGCUAGCGUUAUUCGGAAUUAUUGGGCGUAAAGGGCGCGUAGGCGGCCUGGCAAGUGGAAGGUGAAAUCCCUCGGCUUAACCGAGGAACUGCCUCCCAAACUGCUUGGCUUGAGACCGGGAGAGGUGAGUGGAAUUCCCAGUGUAGCGGUGAAAUGCGUAGAUAUUGGGAGGAACACCAGUGGCGAAGGCGGCUCACUGGACCGGUACUGACGCUGAUGCGCGAAAGCGUGGGGAGCAAACGGG